UUCAUUCCGAACAGAAAGUGAAAGUUAAAUGUAGCCGCUAUCGAUAACUAACUAACUCAAAAUACUCAACGACGUCGUCUCAUUCCAAAAGCUUUAUUCCUCCGCCAUUUUCUCCCCGCACACCCAACAACAACUCCCGGGCUAACAGAACUCAUGCGAUAUAACAGAAAAUACCAAGUUAACAAUCUCCCUCUUUAUUUUAAAAAAUAAAAUAAAAGUAUAAACACAUCCCUGUAAACAUUUGUAUAUGUAUAUGUAUGUGUAUAUAUAUUCAUAUAAACAAAAAAAACAUUUCAACGCGAUUUGCUUUACUUAAAGCAAACUAUCAUAGCACACAAUAAACAAUAGUGCAUUUUAAUGCAAAGACAACUUCGUAAACAAAGGAUUACAGUAUCCAGAGUCCUUGAUCUAGUGCCUUUAGAAGGGUCAAAGGAGACAAGUUUACAUAACAAUCUAACAGAUUUUAAACAUUAAAACUCAACAGAAAUGAUUCAGAAGGGAAAUGAAAAAUUUCACAACUUUGUGUGUGAUUUAUUAUUGUUAUUACUAUUACUAUUAUUAUUAUUAAUUAUUUAUUGUGGUCCACCACAGAGAAGCUGCUCUAGCAUGAUGAUUUUAAUUAUUCUACAGGUUAUUGUCCAGCCUUCUGACGCUCACACACACACACGAGUGGUGUUGAGCGGCUGCGUCUGAGUGCUGAUGCUCCGUGUGUGUUUUUAUUUUUGCAGUGAGACAAACACACCUCACACCGUCCAGAGUUUGUUCUUUAAAGCUUCCAUUAAAUCCACCGUGUUGACGUAUUUAACACGUUUCCUCUACGCUGCAGGAGUUAAAGUUCACAUCAUGGAGUAAAAGUUCAGCAGACGUGUUUGUUUAUAUCUGGGUGGGGGGAGGGGGGGGGGACUCGGUGCUGCACACAGACAGCUGGUGUGAUCAGCUCUGAAAAGCGUUGAUCACAAUUUGCAGAUCACGUUUAUUUUUCUAGGAGAUCAGCCGCGGAUUCCUCUUCUGGUCGGUAUUCUAGGAAUCGAAAUAACAAACUUUGAAAAAUUCCGGGAGAAACUUAACAGUUGGUCCCGGUUCCAAUCGAUGCCCAACCCUAGAACUAACAUAGCUAACUAACUAAAUUAAGUUAAAAAAUGUUUAAGUCCUUUUCUUGAGGAGUACUUGUUGAUUGUAAGCAGCAAUAGACAGCUUAUUAGCUUGACUCUCCCAUAUUCCAUUCAGAACUGACAAAAGCUCCUCAGAUGAGAAGCAAAACGUCUUCAAGAGUCCAAAAAAGUCCAGGUCCUUUAAUGUGAACACUUUUGGGUCGUGUAGUCAUUUAUUUGGUUGUUUUAAAUUGCCUGCCAAUAAAGCUUUGUAACAAUUUUAAAGAGUAUCAUGACAUUUUCUCACCCUUGCAUUGUUUCUGUACCUCUCCUUCUCAGAUCCAGAUCAGCUCGGAGAGCUUCAGACUCUUUGUGAUCUCAUUGGAGUAAGGCAUCGUGACAGCCCAUCCUCUCCAUUAGGACAGCAGGAGCUCUUUCCAGGGAGUGGUGUGUUCAUCUCAUCGUUCCGCCUUGCUGCCAUGAAUCAAGCAUCCAAACCACAUAGCAUGCGCCUGUUUCAUGCACUUUUUGAUCAUUUAUUUACUGUCGAGGAGUGUCAAAAUGCAGUCCCCUUUGGUCGCCCUGGCAAUAACCCCUCUGGAAAGGAAGGAAAGCGGGUCCUGGACCGUAAAAAAGUGGAUGCAAUCCUUACCUAUGUCCUGAGAUGUGCCACUCUACCUGGUUGGGAACAAAUUGAAGAGGCCAAGCUCAAGAAAGCCUUUGUCAACAAAUGUAGGGCCAGAGCAGGUUCUAAGGAGUAGGAUACUGCUAUGAUAUACAGUAUGUGGUCUGCUUUUUCUCUUAUCCAUUGUUGUUUUUUUCUUGUUAGUCAUGGACCAUAAGUGUUGAGACAUUUCCUGCCAAGUAGGGUUGCAGGGAUUACCUGGUUUGACUAUUGACCACAAAUGUCUCCAACGCGGCCUAUAAAACAAAAAAGACAACAGCGCGACUUGCACCGACAAAAACAAAAGUGAAACUGAA